GAUGGAAGCUAUCUUUAAUAUCCUUUGCUUCAGAUGAAGCAAACUCUAAUAUCCUUUGCUUCCGAUGAAGAAUCUGAGGAGCUGCCAUGCUCUUGAUCAGACUUCAGUUUCUGCAGCCUCGCAGGUCACACGCUUCCUUGAAGGUCACACGGGCGGUUCAUGGCAGGCUGGGACUGCAACCUAGCUCGGUUUGUCUGACUCCAGGCUUGUCAUCGCGGGAGGCGUUUAGGGGGCUUGAGGUCCCCCACCUUGUGCAUCAAGGACCAGCCUAGAUCUAACGGAGUUGACAGCGAGGCGGGAAUCCCAGCCUUCCCUGCGAAGGGAGGGCGCAAGGGGGCACCGCUGUUGAGGGCGAGCGGCAACCAUGCCGACAGCUGUUGUGCACUAGCUGGGAUGGGGUGGAGGGAACUACAGUUCCCAGGAAGCAGUGCGGCUCCCUGGCUGCCCCGCUCAGGCCACGCCUAGACCACGCCCCCACCCGCCUCGGCCACGCCCCGGCCACGCCCCCGGGCGGGCUGGUAUAUAAGGGCCGAAUGGCCCGGCGGCGGGCAGAGCGCGGAGGCGGCGCGGGCGCGCGCGGGGCUGCCGGGGCCGGAGGAGGCUGCUGCUCGCCCGCUCGCCCGCCCGCCGCUCCGCGCUUCUCCCUCCGCCUCCCCGGCCCCGCGCACCUACGAGCUCCGGGCCGCGGGCCGAGCUGCCCCGGGCGCUGUCCGGGCCUGCAGAGGGGAUGCCGGCGGGGACCUCGGGCUCGCGCCGGCGUUGCGCAGCAAAGAAAGGCGAGGCGCGGCGUCGGGGCUGCGCGCCCUGGAGCUCCGGGACGCGGCACUUGGGAACCCCCGCGGCGAGCUCCCGCCAUCUCCGCGCGGCCGGAGCGCGCAGCCCGGGGCUGGCCUCGGGUGGAAAGUGCGGGGAAUGGGGCGAGGGGCUCCGGACCCCCCACCGUGGAUUACUUGGUGUGCAUCAGCCGGGCUCAGACGACCCCCACCCCCGCGACCUCGUCUGCGUCCUGGGCUUGCUUCCUUCCACCUGGCAGUCGGGGCGCAUACCUGGCAGAGGGCCUGGAGAAGCCAGCGUGUCCCUGCCCGUGUCACCGAGAGGCCGGCGUGGUGCGAGGAGGACGGGGUUCGCUCGGGGGGGCUCUCCCCUGCUCUUCUCCCGGCCCAGCCCCCACGGGCCCCGCAGGCCCCAAGCCCUGGGCCUGGCACGCUGCCCCCACCCUGGGGGGCCGCCCUCAGUUUUCAUCAUUGCUGACGACGCAUCCGCCUCAUGAAGCGGCUGAGACGGUGCCGAGGGGGACCCGUUGUGCCUUGAAGGAAAUUGUCUUGUCUUCCCUAUCUUUUGGAGUCUGCCCCACUUAG
rnacentral:lncRNA from 12 species